rnacentral:lncRNA from 1 species
AUCAUCUUAAGUAAAGAAGGAAUAGGAUGAAUAAAACUCAUAUGCCUCAAUCAAUAAAUAAUAUAUCUUUAGGUCAGGAAAUUGUCUUAAAAAUGUGUCUUAAAUAGAUUAAUACUCUUUGCUAUAAGAAAUGUAUAAAAGCAAAGUAAAGAAAAUCCUUUGAUAUAGUUCUUAUUCCCUAAAGACACAUUUAAAAUGUACUGCAAAGUAUGAUUAAACAGUUAAAUUUAAUAAAGUAUAAAGUUUUGGCUCCCAUAAAAUCAUUUUUUCCUUUUAGGUUUCCUGACUUGUGAUGGCAGGGGCUACCAUGAAGACCUCUGACACAUCCUGGAGACAU